AUGAGCAAACCUUUGGCUCCCAAAGACAGGGGAUUGUCCACCUAUGAGAAGGAAUGUUUAGCUAUACUCAUGGCAUUAGAGCAAUGGUGUCCUUACCUACAUCAUGAUGAAUUUCUGAUAUGGACGGAUCAACGCAGUCUGGUGCAUUUGGAUGAUCAGCGGUUGUCAACGGUAUGGCAACAAAAAGCAUUUACCAAGCUCUUGGGGUUACGCUACAAAAUUUCUUACAGUCUCUGA
rnacentral:rRNA from 1 species